rnacentral:rRNA from 1 species
AUACGGAGGAUGCAAGCGUUAUCCGGAUUCAUUGGGUUUAAAGGGUGCGUAGGCGGGCGCCUAAGUCAGCGGUGAAAUGCAGCGGCUCAACCGUUGAACUGCCGUUGAAACUGGGCGCCUUGGAUGCGGUCGAGGCCGGCGGAAUGCGUGGUGUAGCGGUGAAAUGCUUAGAUAUCACGCAGAACGCCAAUUGCGAAGGCAGCUGGCCGGGCCGCAAUCGACGCUGAGGCACGAAAGCGUGGGGAUC